AUUGAACGCUGGCGGCAGGCCUAACACAUGCAAGUCGAGCGAGUGGCGGACGGGUGAGUAAUGUCUGGGAAACUGCCUGAUGGAGGGGGAUAACUACUGGAAACGGUAGCUAAUACCGCAUACUAUCAGAUGUGCCCAUAUGGGAUUAGCUGGUUGGUUGGGUAAAGGCUAACCAAGGCGACGAUACCUAGCGGGUCUGAGAGGAUGACCAGCCACACUUGAACUGAGACACGGUCCAGACUCCUACGGGCGGCAGCAGUGGGGAAUAUUGCACAAUGGGCGCAAGCCUGAUGCAGCCAUGCCGCGUGUAUUAAGAAGGCCUUAGGGUUGUAAAGUACUUUCAUCGGGGAGGCGUGACCCGCAGAAGAAGCACCGGCUAACUCCGUGCCAGCAGCCGCGGUAAUUC
rnacentral:rRNA from 1 species